rnacentral:rRNA from 1 species
GAUGAACGCUAGCGGCAGGCCUAAUACAUGCAAGUCGAGGGGCAGCGCGGUAGCAAUACUGGCGGCGACCGGCGCACGGGUGCGUAACACGUAUGCAACCUACCUUCAACUGGAGGAUAGCCCGGGGAAACUCGGAUUAAUACUCCAUAACACAGGGAUCCCGCAUGGGAAUAUUGUUAAAGCUACGGCGGUUGAAGAUGGGCAUGCGUUCGAUUAGCUAGUUGGUGUAGGUAACGGCUCACCAAGGCUACGAUCGAUAGGGGGUCUGAGAGGAUGAUCCCCCACACUGGUACUGAGAUACGGACCAGACUCCUACGGGAGCAGCAGUAGGGAAUAUUGGUCAAUGGGCGCAAGCCUGAACCAGCCAUGCCGCGUGCAGGAAGAAGGCCCUCUGGGUUGUAAACUGCUUUUGAUAGGGAACAAAUGCCACUUGCGAGUGGAGCUGAGUGUACCUAUAGAAUAAGCACCGGCUAAACUCCGUGCCAGCAGCCG